GUCGAGCGAGUCUGCCUUAAGAUCGGAGUGCUUGCACUCUGUGAAACAAGAUACAGGCUAGCGGCGGACGGGUGAGUAACACGUGGGUAACCUGCCCAAGAGAUCGGGAUAACACCUGGAAACAGAUGCUAAUACCGGAUAACAACAGAUGAUGCCUAUCAACUGUUUAAAAGAUGGUUCUGCUAUCACUCUUGGAUGGACCUGCGGUGCAUUAGCUAGUUGGUAGGGUAACGGCCUACCAAGGCGAUGAUGCAUAGCCGAGUUGAGAGACUGAUCGGCCACAUUGGGACUGAGACACGGCCCAAACUCCUACGGGAGGCAGCAGUAGGGAAUCUUCCACAAUGGACGCAAGUCUGAUGGAGCAACGCCGCGUGAGUGAAGAAGGGUUUCGGCUCGUAAAGCUCUGUUGUUGGUGAAGAAGGACAGGGGUAGUAACUGACCUUUGUUUGACGGUAAUCAAUUAGAAAGUCACGGCUAACUACGUGCCAGCAGCCGCGGUAAUACGUAGGUGGCAAGCGUUGUCCGGAUUUAUUGGGCGUAAAGCGAGUGCAGGCGGCUCGAUAAGUCUGAUGUGAAAGCCUUCGGCUCAACCGGAGAAUUGCAUCAGAAACUGUCGAGCUUGAGUACAGAAGAGAAGAGUGG
rnacentral:rRNA from 1 species